UACGUAGGGGGCAAGCGUUGUCCGGAUUUAUUGGGCGUAAAGAGCGUGUAGGCGGUCUGGAAGGUCCGUUGUGAAAACUCGAGGCUCAACCUCGAGACGCCGAUGGAAACCACCUGGCUAGAGUCCGGAAGAGGAGAGUGGAAUUCCUGGUGUAGCGGUGAAAUGCGCAGAUAUCAGGAAGAACACCCGUGGCUAAGGCGGCUCUCUAGUACGGUACUGACGCUGAGACGCGAAAGCGUGGGGAGCGAACAGG
rnacentral:rRNA from 1 species